UACGUAGGGGGCAAGCGUUGUCCGGAUUUAUUGGGCGUAAAGAGCAGUGUAGGCGGCCAGAUAGGUCCGUUGUGAAAACUCGAGGCUCAACCUCGAGACGCCGAUGGAAACCAUUUGGCUAGAGUCCGGAAGAGGAGAGUGGAAUUCCGUGGUGUAGCGGUGAAAUGCGCAGAUAUCAGGAAGAACACCAAUGGCGAAAGCAGCUCUCUGGGACGGUACUGACGCUGAGGCGCGACAGCGUGGGGAGCAAACAGG
rnacentral:rRNA from 1 species